rnacentral:lncRNA from 1 species
GAAGAGAAUAUCAAGCUUCCAACUGUCAGAGAUUGUCCUGAGUGCAACGGUUAUGACCGGUAUGACAGGUCCGAUCGGUACUAUCGUGAUAAUAAUCGGCGAUUUAAUGGGCCGAUUAGGGGAAGAGCAUCUGUUCAUGAUCGGCUGGGGGGCAGGCUCGGUGUGCACGACAGGCUUGGAGAUUGUGUUGAAUAUUUUCCCAGGAACUAGGAAGAACUUGAAGAAAUGGCUAAUGCACGGGUUCCCGACGAGUUCAUAUUUUGCAG